AUACGGAGGAUCCGAGCGUUAUCCGGAUUUAUUGGGUUUAAAGGGUGCGCAGGCGGCCAUUUAAGUCAGCGGUUAAAUCGUGGGGCUCAACCCCAUUCUGCCGUUGAUACUGGGUGGCUUGAUUGCGGUCGAGGUUGGCGGAAUUCGUUGUGUAGCGGUGAAAUGCAUAGAUAUGACGAAGAACACCGAUUGCGUAGGCAGCUGACCAGACCGCAAAUGACGCUCAUGCACGAAAGUGCGGGGAUCGAACAGGAUUAGAUACCCUGGUAGUCCGCACAGUAAACGAUGAAUACUUGUUUUCGGCGAUAUAAUGUCGGAGGCAAAGCGAAAGCGAUAAGUAUUCCACCUGGGGAGUACGCCGGAAACGGUGAAACUCAAAUGAAUUGACGGG
rnacentral:rRNA from 1 species